rnacentral:rRNA from 1 species
GACGAACGCUGGCGGCGUGCUUAACACAUGCCAGUCGAACGGAAAGGCCCUGCUUUUGUGUGGUGCUCGAGUGGCGAACGGGUGAGUAACACGUGAGUAACCUGCCCUUGACUUUGGGAUAACUUCAGGAAACUGGGGCUAAUACCGGAUAGAAUCUUCUGCUGCAUGGUGGGGGUUGGAAAGUUUCGGCGGUUGGGGAUGGACUCGCGGCUUAUCAGCUUGUUGGUGGGGUAGUGGCUUACCAAGGCUUUGACGGGUAGCCGGCAUGAGAGGGUGACCGGCGACAUUGGUACUGAGAUACGGCGCAGACGGGUACGGGAGGCAGUAGGGGGGAAUAUUGCACAAUGGGCGGACGCCUGAUGCAGAAACGUUGGGUGCGGGAUGAUGGCCUUCGGGUUGUAAACAGCUUUCGCCUGUGACGAAGCGUGAGUGACGGUAAUGGGUAAAGAAGCACCGGCUAACUACGUG